GUGUCUGAACAGUGGAUUACUCGGCUCACACGUCAAUGAAGAAUGCAGCUAGCUGCAAGUACUAAUGUGAAUUGCAGGACACAUUGACCAUCGACACUUCGAACGCACUUUGCUGCCCAUGGUUACUCCUGGGUUUACGUCUGUCUGAGGGUCG